rnacentral:rRNA from 1 species
GUGAGGAAUAUUGCGCAAUGGAGGCAACUCUGACGCAGCCAUGCCGCGUGCAGGAAGAAGGCGCUACGCGUUGUAAACUGCUUUUAACCGGGAAGAAACCCUAGGACGUGUCCUGGGUUGACGGUACCGGAGGAAUAAGCACCGGCUAACUUCGUGCCAGCAGCCGCGGUAAUACGAAGGGUGCAAGCGUUAUCCGGAUUCAUUGGGUUUAAAGGGUGCGUAGGCGGAGCGUUAAGUCAGUGGUGAAAUCCUGCAGCUUAACUGUAGACUUGCCAUUGAUACUGGCGCUCUUGAGUGCGCUUGAAGUGGGCGGAAUGUGCCGUGUAGCGGUGAAAUGCUUAGAUAUGGCACAGAACACCAAUUGCGAAGGCAGCUCACUAAGGCGAUACUGACGCUGAGGCACGAAAGCGUGGGGAUCGAACAGGAUUAGAAACCCGUGUAGUCC